CUCGAGCAUGACUGUCUGAUUCUAUUUAAUUUUUAAAUUGAUGUCCAGUGGCAAACAUUUCUAGAGUCGUGUCAUUCAGGAAGUAAAUACAAGAAAAAAUGAAUCUGUUCAUGCGCGGGUUGGUUAAAAAUAGAGCUCCCUACAUAUAUCUUGUUUAAAAAAAUAUUUAUUUUACUCAGCUAUCUUCAAGGCACCAUCUUCUUCUGUUACAUGAAAUUGUGAUACUGUGAAAUUGACUGAUUAGAUUUCAUUUUAGAUUGCCAAAGUUUGAAGUAGUAGAGACCAUUUCCGUGACCUGUGUUUGUUGCACUCUGUGGGUAAAAUCCAGUAGUUUUUUUUUUAGCCUACUGAGAUUUUAAUAACUUAUUUUCGAAUGAUGGAAC
rnacentral:lncRNA from 1 species